UUGGGGAGCUGCAGGCUCCUAAAAGAAGGAUGAGACGCUUAUUAUUUUUAACUAUAAAAUCAUUUGAACAGAUACCAGCACAAAUGCGCCUGGCAGAGAAGCGCAGUCAUGCCAGGCCAGCAACCGUCUGAACCAAGGGGGUGGCUGUCCUUUGUGCAGUCUGUUCGAGAUUGUCUGUGCUAAUAGUCAUCUGCCAUAACAUUCUCAUGUAUUCCUGUAAAAAUGUUGAAAACUUCAGUUCAGAACUGACCCUUUUUGGCUUCUUUGAGAUAUUUUAUAUAUAAAACCGCAACAGUUUAUUUUUUUUGGGGGGGGGGGUUGGAGGGCAGUCAACUUGUAAUUGGAGUGUCGAGCUUCAUUAGUGAGUGUUCAUUUUAGAGGUUUCACAAAUAUAUUUUGUUACUAGUGGAUGACUGCCGGAAGUCUGAACUGGGAAUUGCUAAAUCAAAUUCUGGGUUUCCUCCAAGGAGAUGUUUUGUCCAGCCUUCACUGAAACCACUUUCAGUUGCUGUUGUACUAUACGUAUGAAAGCAAUGAUUGUUUUUUUUUCUCACCCUCUGAUCUAUAGAAAAUGUAGGAGUUCGGUGGGCAUAUUACAUGAGAGUCAACGACUAAAAAAUAUGUUUUUGAAUACAGAAUAUAAGGAUGACAGAUUUGUCUCACAUCAAAUAUAAAAAUGUAAUAUUUCAUUCAAUGUUGUAAUUAUGGAUGCCAUCUAUAUUCCAUUCUGUCUUCUUUACCGAUAGCUUGGAGUAUAAUUCUACAAUAAUAUACAAGAAAUAAAGGCUUCUUUGGAACCACUGAGGAGCACAGAUCCACAACAUUUCCUUAACAGGCCUCACAUUGGAAAGUAUAAAUAUUUGUAACAUCAUCAUCAUUUGUAAAAACUUUCAGAGGGGAAAGAAGACAAUGGCAAAGUGAAGGGAUGGACUGAUUUUUAUACAUCACCAUAUUUCAUAUUUCCACAGACAGAUAUAAUUUAGAUGUAAUUCAAUUCAAUAAACAAAUUAGAAUGUACAUUCUUGAAGCAUACAUCAAGUUGUGCAGGAUUUGUGCAAUAAUGUAUACAUGUUCGAUCAUUUCUUCUUGUCGAACAGCCCCCCCCCCCCCCUUACUGGCACUACAGUGCUAAUGAAAGUUGCACAAACCUUGUGGUUGUUGAUUUUUUUUUUAACUCUCAUACAUUUCACCCAUUCACUCACAAUUUGUUUAAAACUAUAGCUUGUUGGAGACUCGGCCUUCUCAUUACUAUUAAAAAAACUGUGAUUCAGUCCUGCACUGGAAUUUGUAAUAGUGGAGUGUUACUGGUGGAGUUCAAACAAGCAAUUUACAAGAGGACGAGAGAUGAGUCCAGAAGGAGAGAAUCGUAUUGCGUCAGCAAAGUUCGAGGGUUGUCACAAAAACUCUAUUUCAAAUCUACUACAAACUAACAACUUCAAACGUUACUCUUCCAAGUUAUCCACCUCUGGUGUAACACAUUUCCCUCAGCCUUCUCUAUUACACCUUCAUGAAACCCUGACAGGAAUUCUUCCAAGAUUCUCGACGGCGCCAUCAUCACGGCCACAUUGUUGUUGUCCACGUCUUCCAAAAACGGUUCCCGAGAUUAACUCCUUGAGUUUGGGAAAAGAGAAAAAAAAUCAUCCCUUGGAAGCAAGACAGUCGAGGUGGGAGGUUACACCAGCACGGCAAUAUUCCAGGAGUGAUGUCGGAGGCAUUGUGGGAAAGCGCGUUGCCACGGGGGGAAACCUGCCACAACUCUUAACUCUUCUCGCUCACCGAUCGAAGCAAAUGCAGCAGGAUCUUUUUGUAGACAUGCUAGUUAAUGGUUCGGCUCACACGAAAUGGGGUGACUCGUCGCGUGUUGUUAGCUUUUGAACACAGCAUGAAUAGCUUUGGUGACACCAGUUCCGAAAUGGUUCUGGCACAACUGGAAGCAACCGUAGAAAAAUAAAGCAUUUAGUUUUUAAUCUACUGAGAUAACUAAGGUUAUCUUUAAUUUGUUGUUGUUGAUAGAUCCUACGGAAAAAUAAGAAACGGAGUCUGGGGAGAGCAGAAAACUCGACACCAGAAAAUAUUUUAGAGGGACAAUAGGAGGUGCUUGCGUCAUUUUUAAACUCUCUGACAAGAUGCUCCCUGUGCCACUUUUUGAAAACACCUGCUCUACGUUGACUUUUUGAGUAGGAAACGUUUGAAUGUGUCAUGUGAGGAGAACAGCAGAUCAUAAGAGUACAGAACGUCUCCACAUCAAUUCAGCGUCACGUUAGCAUCAGCAAGUUCAGAGGUUUAUUCAUGUCUUAGCAGCAGGUUUGAAUGGAAAGUAACAAAGACAUACACACUUGAAGACCAUCAAUGAAGGAAACAAAGUUUGCAUUUUUUUCUCGUCAGUCACAGUUUGUGCUGUCUCUUUAGCUGGGUUGCUCAAAACAUGGUGGAAGAAAAACAACCAAAAAAAA